GACGAACGCUGGCGGCGUGCUUAACACAUGCAAGUCGAACGCUGAAGCUCAGCUUUUGUUGGGUGGAUGAGUGGCGAACGGGUGAGUAACACGUGAGUAACCUGCCUCCUUCUUUGGGAUAACGCCCGGAAACGGGUGCUAAUACUGGAUAUUCACUGGUCUUCGCAUGGGGGUUGGUGGAAAGGGUUUUUCUGGUGGGGGAUGGGCUCGCGGCCUAUCAGCUUGUUGGUGGGGUGAUGGCCUACCAAGGCUUUGACGGGUAGCCGGCCUGAGAGGGUGACCGGUCACAUUGGGACAGAGAUACGGCCCAGACUCCUACGGGAGGCAGCAGUGGGGAAUAUUGCACAAUGGGCGCAAGCCUGAUGCAGCGACGCCGCGUGAGGGAUGGAGGCCUUCGGGUUGUGAACCUCUUUCGCUCAUGGUCAAGCCGCAACAAUGGUUGUGGUGAGGGUAGUGGGUAAAGAAGCGCCGGCUAACUACGUG
rnacentral:rRNA from 1 species